GAAUCCCAACGGCCUCGUGCUGUUGGGAAAUGUGGUGUUUGGUAUACUCCUUACGGUGCAUUGGAGUCGUUCUAAGUCCACGUGAUUGUGGCUUAAAGCCCAGAGAGGGUGUAAGGCCCGUGANAACGAUACAGUGUAUUCAUUGGAGUGUUCCUANAUUCGGAUUGUUUGGGAAUGCUGUCCAUACAGCGNGGNNCNNCNCGAANANNNUANANUNAAACUUGNUNUAUUUANUCAUUNUACCNNNNNNNNNNNNNNNNNNNNNNNNNNNNNNNNNNNNNNNGAANNGCUNNAGGUNNNAGGCAGAGCCGAAGGAGGGGUGUGCAUUUGUCUUCCGCGAUGCUCAUGCUGAUGUUUAAGGAGAUUCGUAAGAACUCCCACGUUGGUGUGUAGUGUUGUGUUAGGCUAUUGUGCGCUUCCGGCACCACGAUCAGUGCCUAGAUGGGCCGUGUCAUUGGGGAGAAGUUAACUUGUCUCUUUGAGGCAAGAAUUUAUAGACCCUAGUACAGCGCCAGUCGAACACUGAGAAAUGCGAUGCAGGACAAUGCGCUGCACAAGUUGGUGAUAGUUACUGGUUCUUGGUAUUGACUCUUCGGAGAUGGUAACGAGUUGCCGGUGGCUGUUGCUCGCCUCUGUGUAGUGCAGUAAUGAAUCCGUGGUGAUAAUGUAAGCAAUCUGCCUGACCCGUCUUGAAACACGGACCAAGGAGUUUAGCAUGUGCGCGAGUCAUGAGGUCGUACGAAACCUAAAGGCGAAGUGAAAGUAAAGGCUAACAUUGUCGUUAGCUGAGGUAGGAUCUCGGUUCCUAUGUACAUUCUGGUACAAGUUCCGGGCGCACUACCANCUCGUCCCCUGCUUUAUUANNCCGGGCGACGCAACAACGCACACACUGAUACCCCACAUAUGGUGGGCUAUGCUUGCGUAGGUUGAAGCCAGAGGAAACUCUGGUGGAGGGCCGUAGCGAUUCUGACGUGCAAAUCGAUCGUCAAACGUGAGUAUAGGGGCGAAAGACUAAUCGAACCAUCUAGUAGCUGGUUCCCUCCGAAGUUUCCCUCAGGAUAGCUGGCACUCGAGAAACAAACAGUUUUAUCCGGUAAAGCGAAUGAUUAGAAGUAUUGGGGAAAAACAUUCCUCAACUUAUUCUCAAACUUUAAAUGGGUGAGAAGCUGAACUCUCUUAAAUUGGAGUUGGGCAUUGAAUGUGAGUGCCUAGUGGGCCAUUUUUGGUAAGCAGAACUGGCGCUGUGGGAUGAACCAAACGUUUGGUUAAGGAGCCUAACACGACGCUCAUCAGAUACCACAAAAGGUGUUGGUUGAUAUAGACAGCAGGACGGUGGCCAUGGAAGUUGGAAUCCGCUAAGGAGUGUGUAACAACUCACCUGCCGAAUCAACUAGCCCUGAAAAUGGAUGGCGCUGGAGCGUUGGUCCUAUACCAGACCGAUACUGCAAGGCGCAUGAAAAGGACGCAGUACCGAGUAGGAGGGCGCUGUGGUGAGCAUUGAAGCUUCGGUCGUGAGACUGGGUGGAGCCGCCACGGGUGCAGAUCUUGGUGGUAGUAGCAAAUAUUCAAGUGAGAACCUUGAA
rnacentral:rRNA from 1 species